CGUGCACACACAAGGAAAGACCACAUGGAGAGGCAGCAAGGAGAAGGUCCCGGAGGAACUCAACCCCGACGGCGCCUUGACCUUGUGACUCAAGUGCUUGGUGAUUUGAGGUUCAACAGCAUUCCCUGGCGGCUCUGGUCAUCAAAACCGAGCCUGGGUUGAGUCGGGAGCAUCCACAGAGGAAUAGUCACACACGUCGGUGCACGAUGACAAACUGAGAUGCAGUUAAAAGUAGAUUACACGGUGUCUGUGCCCAGGAGGACAUCAACGACGUGCAGACCAGUGAAGAGAUGUAUUGGAAAACCUGCUUACUCGGGGCCGGGCACCGAUCUACCUGCCCCACGUGUUACCAU